CAAUAGCGUAUAUUAAAGUUGUUGCAGUUAAAAAGCUCGUAGUUGGAUCUGUGGUGUGCGGUGGGCUCCGGGCACUUGUUGUCUGAGUAGCUCGCCGCUGCCAUCCUUGGGUGGAACCUGUGUGGCAUUAGGUUGUCGUGCAGGGGAUGCCCAUCGUUUACUGUGAAAAAAUUAGAGUGUUCAAAGCAGGCUUAUGCCGUUGAAUAUAUUAGCAUGGAAUAAUGAGAUAGGACUUUUUCGCUAUUUUGUUGGUUUGCGCGAAGAGGUAAUGAUUAAUAGGGACAGUUGGGGGUAUUCGUAUUCCAUUGUCAGAGGUGAAAUUCUCGGAUUUUUGGAAGACGAACUACUGCGAAAGCAUUUACCAAGGAUGUUUUCAUUAA
rnacentral:rRNA from 1 species